UUGUUAAAAUUUUUUCAUUAAUCUAACUCAGAUAAAUAAUAAGAUAAUUAGGGUUUCAAGGACUAAAUUGGGUAUAAAUACAACUCUCGCCACGUCAGCUAGCCGUUGCAGCGUCCAGCAUGGUAAGGAGGAUGCCAUCUCAGCACUCCAUUUGCCUAGUCAUCGC